AAGAAGACCUGAAAGUUCAGCUACAAUUUGUCAGAGAUGCAAGCCAAGACUUGAUGUUUUGAUGAAAGAAACUCCUCCUUUAUACCACUUGAUCAUGAAGCUGUAUAACUGGGACUACAUAAUACAAAAACAUGCACGAUGUACAAUUUCUCCAAUCACAGCCACAGAAGCCUAUAAUUUCUUCUGGGUGUCUUGGUGGCUUUCUUUACUCUUCUCCUUCUUGCACAGUCACUCAGUUUUUCUAUCUAUCUACUCCACACAGAUUUACCACAGAGUGCCAUAUAUUUGUAUUUCUUCAUAAUUGAUGUAAAUAAAGCUCAAGACAUAUUCACUGACUUGGAAAUGUUCAUGUAUCCAUCCCCUGACUUGUCUGAAGAGAACUGCCAAUAAAACUGAUUGUUUACAUUACAGCAUUUCAUUAUGCAACCCAUCAUCUUGGCUUUUAUAUUUUUGAUUAAUUUAUAUCAAGUUGCAGAGAUUUACUUUGAGUUUAAGAUAAUUUUAAUUUUUUAUUUUUUUAUAUUUGAAAUGGCACAAAUUAAAACGUGUGAAAUACCAAGUGUUCCAAUAGUUUUGGAGGGCACUGUAGCUCUUUGAGAAUAUUGAGUGAAGUCAAGUAAAACCACAAUUACAACAAAUUAAAUUCACUUGAAUUUAAAUCCGCUUUAAAAAUAUGCUGCCAAAUAGUGUGGCUGGCCUUUUGGUGAA